rnacentral:misc_RNA from 1 species
GAAGAGUAAGUCCGGGACGUAGACGUUGAAGUGACGGGAAAGGAUCCGAACCGUUUCGCUCCAUUGCCACAUGGAAUUGGCUCCGAAUCCAUGGAUUAGGACCAAAUCGGGUCGGGUCGGUUUUUUGGAUUUGGGUACCCAGCAAUGCAUUAUGGUACCAUCUUUGAGGUCAGUGAAAGUAGAUCGGAGUCCUCGGCUACUGAAAGUGGAUUUGAGGCACCGGUUUUUAGCUGCGGUGAAGCUGAA